UACGUAGGGGGCAAGCGUUAUCCGGAUUUACUGGGUGUAAAGGGGGCGUAUAAAGUCUGAAGUGAAAACCCGCAGCUCAACUGCGGAGUUGCUUUGGAAACUUAUAAGCUGGAGUGUCGGAGGGGUAAGCGGAAUUCCCAGUGUAGCGGUGAAAUGCGUAGAUAUUGGGAGGAACACCGGAGGCGAAGGCGGCUUACUGGAAGAUAACUGACGUUGAGGCUCGAAGGCGUGGGUAGCAAACAGG
rnacentral:rRNA from 1 species